rnacentral:misc_RNA from 1 species
GAUGAAGAACGCAGCGAAAUGCGAUAAGUAAUGUGAAUUGCAGAAUUCAGUGAAUCAUCGAAUCUUUGAACGCACAUUGCGCCCUCUGGUAUUCCGGGGGGCAUGCCUGUUCGAGCGUCAUUAUAACCACUCAAGCUCUCGCUUGGUAUUGGGGUUCGCGGUUUCGCGGCCCCUAAAAUCAGUGGCGGUGCCUGUCGGCUCUACGCGUAGUAAUACUUCUCGCGAUUGAGUUCGAUAGGUCUACUUGCCAGUAACCCCCAAUUUUUACAGGUUGACCUCGGAUCAGGUAAGGAUACCCGCUGAACUUAAGCAUAUCAAUAAGCGGAGGA